rnacentral:rRNA from 1 species
GACGAACGCUGGCGGUGUGCUUAACACAUGCAAGUCGAACGAUGAAGCCUAGCUUGCUAGGUGGAUUAGUGGCGAACGGGUGAGUAAUACGUGAGUAACCUACCUUUAACUCUGGGAUAAGCCUGGGAAACUGGGUCUAAUACCGGAUACGACCAAUCUCCGCAUGGGGUGUUGGUGGAAAGCGUUAUGUAGUGGUUAUAGAUGGGCUCACGGCCUAUCAGCUUGUUGGUGAGGUAACGGCUCACCAAGGCGACGACGGGUAGCCGGCCUGAGAGGGUGACCGGCCACACUGGGACUGAGACACGGCCCAGACUCCUACGGGAGGCAGCAGUGGGGAAUAUUGCACAAUGGGCGCAAGCCUGAUGCAGCGACGCCGCGUGAGGGAUGAUGGCCUUCGGGUUGUAAACCUCUGUUAGCAGGGAAGAAGAGAAAUUGACGGUACCUGCAGAGAAAGCGCCGGCUAACUACGUG